GAUGAACGCUGGCGGCGGGCCUAAUACAUGCAAGUCGAGCGAACAGACGAGGGUCUUUUUCCUCUGACGUUAGCGGCGGACGGGUGGGUAACAAAUGGAUAACCUACCUAUAAUACUCGGAUAACUACCGGAAACCGGAGCUAAUACCUGCUAAUAGAUGUAACUGCACGGUUCAAUAUUUAAACACGGUUUUGCUGUCACUUAUAGAUGGAUCCGCGCCGCAUUAGCUAGUUGGUAAGGUAACGGCUUACCAAGGCAACGAGGCGUAGCCGACCUGAGAGGGUGAUCAGCCACCCUGGAACGGAGACACGGUCCAGACUCCUACGGGAGGCAGCAGAAGGGAAUCUUCCACAAUGGGCGAAGGCCUGACGGAGCAACGCCGCGUGGGUGAUGAGGGGCUUCGGAUCGUAAAACUCUGUUGUUAGGGAAGAACAAAUGUGUAAGUAACUAUGCACGUCUUGACGGUACCUAAUCAGAAAGCCACGGCUAACUACGUG
rnacentral:rRNA from 1 species